rnacentral:rRNA from 1 species
GGACUACACGGGUAUCUAAUCCUGUUCGCUCCCCACGCUCUCGCUCCUCAGCGUCAGUAUCGGCCCAGAGACCCGCCUUCGCCACCGGUGUUCCUCCUGAUAUCUGCGCAUUUCACCGCUACACCAGGAAUUCCAGUCUCCCCUACCGAACUCUAGUCUGCCCGUAUCGAAUGCAGGCUCGGGGUUGAGCCCCGAGGUUUCACAUCCGACGCGACAGACCGCCUACGAGCUCUUUACGCCCAAUAAUUCCGGACAACGCUCGCACCCUACGUAUUACCGCGGCUGCUGGCAC